UUGCAUCGAUGAAGAACGCAGCGAAAUGCGAUAAGUAAUGUGAAUUGCAGAAUUCAGUGAAUCAUCGAAUCUUUGAACGCACAUUGCGCCCCCUGGUAUUCCGGGGGGCAUGCCUGUCCGAGCGUCAUUACAACCCUCAAGCUCAGCUUGGUAUUGGGCCCCGCCGACCCGGCGGGCCCUAAAGUCAGUGGCGGUGCCGUCCGGCUCCGAGCGUAGUAAUUCUUCUCGCUCCGGAGGUCCGGUCGUGUGCUUGCCAGCAACCCCCAAUUUUUUCAGGUUGACCUCGGAUCAGGUAGGGAUACCCGCUGAACUUAAGCAUAUCAAUAAGCGGAGGAA
rnacentral:rRNA from 1 species